rnacentral:lncRNA from 1 species
AGCACUUGUCCAUUGGGGGACCUCUCCCCUCUUUGAGCACGGGGCCCACCCCCUUUGAGCACAGGGACCCCUGCAAUUGCUGUGAGUAGGCUUCCAGCUAGCCCCUCCCAGAAACAGCUGUGUCCCCCUUGGCCCUUCCUGUCUGGGCCACAGGCUAUUUUUAGCACUGAAUCCGGAACCCACAUAGCAGCAGCUGCUUGUGGCCGGAGCGCAAGAACAACAAACCAUCCAGUUUCCAAUUUUCCUAUGGUACAAAAGAUGCUGCAUUUGUGAACAGUUCCUGAGCAUGGGAUUAAGAGUUUCUCCAAGGGUCUUACUCUGUUGCCCCAGUUGGAGUGCAGUGCUGUGAUCACCGAUUACUGCAGCCUCAACUUCCCUGGCUCAGGUAAUCCUCCCUGAGCCUCAGUCUCCUGGGUAGCUGGGACCACAGGCUCAAGCCAUCAUGCCCGGCUAAUUUUUUGUAAUUUUUGUAGAGACGGGGUUUUGCCAUGCUGCCCGGGCUGUUCUCAAACUCCUGGGCUCAAGCAAUCCACCCACCGUGGCCUCCCAAGGUACUUGGAUUACAGGCGUAAACCACUGUGCCUGGCCCAUUAAUGGUGUCUUUUAACACACAGAUUUUUAAUUUUAAUAAGGUUAAAUCCUCAUAAGAAAUCUGCGUGGUUUAUCCUUGUUUAACCCGGGGUUAUAAAAGUAUUAUAUAUUUCCUUUUUAUUUUUAUUUUUUGAGAUGGAGUUUCACUCUGUCAUCUAGGCUGGAGUACAGUGGCGCAAUCUUGGCUCACUGCAACCUCUGUCUCCUGGGUUCAGGUGACUCUCCUGCCUCAGCCUCCUGAGUAGCUGGGAUUACAGGUGCCCGCCACCACACCCAGCUAAUUUUUGUAUUUUUAGUAGAGACGGGGUUUCGCCAUGUUGGCCAGGCUGGUCUGGAACUCCUGACCUCAGGUGAUCCACCUGCCUUGGCCUCCCAAAGUGCUCGGAUUACAGGCAUUAGCCACCUCGCCCGGCCUUUACAUUUUUUUUUAUAGAGAUGGGGGUCUGCCCAUGUUGCCCAGGCUGGUCUUGAACUUAUGCGCUCAAGUGAUCCUCCUGCCUCAGUCUCCCAAAGUGCUGGGAUUACAGGUGGGAGCUACUGCGUCCAGCCUAAAAUGUUUGAAGUUAGGUUUUUGCAUUAGGUUUGUGUGUACCUGGAAUGACUUUUGUAUAUGAAGUGAGACAGAGGUCCACACUUUUUCCCCAUAUCAUCAACUGUCCUAGCGCCAUUUAUUAGCCCGUCACUUCCCACUUAUUUAUUAUUAUUAUUUUUUGAGACGGAGUCUCUCUGUCGCCCAGACGGGAGUGCAGUGGCACGACCUUGGCUCACUG